CAGUAGCCGCGGGAAUACAGAGGGUGCAAGCGUUAAUCGGAAUUACUGGGCGUAAAGCGCGCGUAGGUGGUUCAUUAAGUUGGAUGUGAAAGCCCUGGGCUCAACCUGGGAACUGCAUCCAAAACUGGUGAGCUAGAGUACGGUAGAGGGUAGUGGAAUUUCCUGUGUAGCGGUGAAAUGCGUAGAUAUAGGAAGGAACACCAGUGGCGAAGGCGACUACCUGGACUGAUACUGACACUGAGGUGCGAAAGCGUGGGGAGCAAACAGGAUUAGAUACCCGCGUAGUCCCUGUCUCUUAUAC
rnacentral:rRNA from 1 species